rnacentral:rRNA from 1 species
AGUUUUAAAUUUUAUUUAUUGAGUAGUAAUAGAGAGCUUGAAACUUAAAGAGUUUGGCGGUAUUUGAGUCUAUUUAGAGGAACCUGUAGUUUAAUCGAUAAUCCACSYGKYAUVUGACCUUAAUUAAUUUUUAGUAUGUAUAUCGUUGUCUAGAAUAAUUUUGGAGAAUAUUUUCUAAAAAUUUUGGUUAGUAUAGCAAAUCAAGGUGCAGCGAUAUUUAGGUAUGAAUGGGUUACAAUAUAUAAUAUAUAUGGAGUAUUUAGUGAAAUGAGAUAUGAAGGUGGAUUUAUAUGUAAAGUAUUAUUAAUAAAAAUAUUUGAAUUAGUACUAGAAUAUGU